rnacentral:rRNA from 1 species
GACGAACGCUGGCGGCGUGCUUAACACAUGCAAGUCGAACGGAAAGGCCCUGCUUUUGUGGGGUGCUCGAGUGGCGAACGGGUGAGUAACACGUGAGUAACCUGCCCUUGACUUUGGGAUAACUUCAGGAAACUGGGGCUAAUACCGGAUAGGAGCUCCUGCUGCAUGGUGGGGGUUGGAAAGUUUCGGCGGUUGGGGAUGGACUCGCGGCUUAUCAGCUUGUUGGUGGGGUAGUGGCUUACCAAGGCUUUGACGGGUAGCCGGCCUGAGAGGGUGACCGGCCAUAUGGGGACUGAGAUACGGCCCAGACUCCGACGGGAGGCAGCAGUGGGGAAUAUUGCAAAAGGGGCGGAAGCCUGAUGCAGAAACGCGGCGGGCGGGAUGACGGCCUUGGGGUUGUAAACCGUUUUCCCCUGGGACGAAGGGUGGGUGGAGGUAAUGGGAAAAGAAGCACCGGCUAACUACGG